rnacentral:rRNA from 1 species
UACGUAGGGGGCUAGCGUUGUCCGGAAUCAUUGGGCGUAAAGAGCGUGUAGGCGGCCCGGUAAGUCCGCUGUGAAAGUCCAGGGCUCAACCCUGGGAUGCCGGUGGAUACUGUCGGGCUCGAGUCCGGAAGAGGCGAGUGGAAUUCCUGGUGUAGCGGUGAAAUGCGCAGAUAUCAGGAGGAACACCAAUGGCGAAGGCAGCUCGCUGGGACGUGACUGACGCUGAGACGCGAAAGCGUGGGGAGCGAACAGG